AGGCAGCAUGGGGGAAUAUUGCACAAUGGGGGAAACCCUGAUGCAGCCAUGCCGCGUGUGUGAAGAAGGACCUUCGGGUUGUAAAGCACUUUCAGUAGGGAGGAAGGUAGUGUAGUUAACACCUGCAUUAUUUGACGUUACCUACAGAAGAAGCACCGGCUAACUCCGUGCCAGCAGCCGCGGUAAUACGGAGGGUGCGAGCGUUAAUCGGAAUUACUGGGCGUAAAGCGCAUGCAGGCGGCCUGUUAAGUCAGAUGUGAAAGCCCGGGGCUUAACCUCGGAAUUGCAUUUGAAACUGGCAGGCUAGAGUCUUGUAGAGGGGGGUAGGAAUUUCAGGUGUAGCGGUGAAAUGCGUAGAGAUCUGAAGGAAUACCAGUGGCGAAGGCGGCCCCCUGGACAAAGACUGACGCUCAGAUGCGAAAGCGUGGGGAGCAAACAGGAUUAGAUACCCUGGUAG
rnacentral:rRNA from 1 species